GACGAACGCUGGCGGCGUGCUUAACACAUGCAAGUCGAACGGAAAGGCCCUGCUUUUGUGGGGUGCUCGAGUGGCGAACGGGUGAGUAACCCGUGAGUAACCUGCCCUUGACUUUGGGAUAACUUCAGGAAACUGGGGCUAAUACCGGAUAGGAGCUCCUGCUGCAUGGUGGGGGUUGGAAAGUUUCGGCGGUUGGGGAUGGACUCGCGGCUUAUCAGCUUGUUGGUGGGGUAGUGGCUUACCAAGGCUUUGACGGGUAGCCGGCCUGGGAGGGGGACCGGCCACAUGGGGACUGAGAGACGGCCCAGACGCCUACGGGAGGCAGCAGGGGGGAAUAUUGCACAAUGGGGGGAAGCCUGAUGCAGCAACGCCGCGUGCGGGAUGACGGCCUUCGGGUUGUAAACCGCUUUCGCCUGUGACGAAGCGUGAGUGACGGUAAUGGGUAAAGAAGCACCGGCUAACUACGUG
rnacentral:rRNA from 1 species